UUAGUUUGGCCCAGGACCUAUCAGAGGCUGAAGUGAAAGGUUGGCCCAGGACCUUGGCCCAGGACCAAUCAAGGGCUGAGGUGAUGAUUCAUAGAAGCCGGACUUACACUCCUCCUAAAGGAAAGUAGAGCGCCCACCGAACGCACCAGAGCCCACCGUUCCCAUACCCACAAAAGGAGAAGAAACUUUUCCGGGGAGCCUACUGACUAUACAAAGGAAAAGACAUUUCUAUGACAGACCUUCUUCCCUUAUCUGAAUGAGCUGGAGGUUUCUGCAACAUUUUUAUCCAAAUGGGCUGGAGUGCCCACAUGGGAGGACCUAGCAUAAUUUCUAACAGCCUGGGACUUCUUGGGAAAAACAGAAAAAAACGCCAUUUGGAGGAAACUCUGUUCUCAUCAAGGAAACUCAAUGGCUGUAAGCUUUUACAUUGUGUUGUUUCAUCUUUUUAGCUUUUGAGGGUACCAGUAAUUACUUUGUAUUGUGAGAAAAUUUUUAACCUUGACGUAUGUAAUAGCUAAAUUAAAGGUAUUCCUUUAGAGAUAGCUAUUGGCAUUUGCUUCAAGCAAAGUGUACGGUUGAGCAUGUAGAAGGUAUAGAAAAAUCCUGACUCCCCACUGAGGGAUGAGAUUCCUAAGGGAGAUGGGCUAAUUACAGAGCGGAUUAACUGGCAUUGGGUUGCUGAUAUGGUUUGGCUGUAUCUCCACCCAAAUCUCAUCCUGAAUUGUAACUCCCACAAUCCCCACAUGUCAUGGGAGGAACCUGGUAGGAGGUGAUUGAAUUAUGGCGGGGAGGGGCUUUCCUGUGCUGUUGUCAUGAUAAUGAAUGAGUCUUACGAGAUCUGAUGGUUUUAAAAAUGAGAGUUUCCCUGCACAACCUCUCUCUGCGCCUGCCACCGUCCAUGUAAGAUGUGACUUGCGUCUCCUUGCCAUCUGCUUUGAUUGUGUGGCCUCUCCAGCCAUGUGGAACUAAGUUUUCUUGCCUCAUCUGAAUUUUCGAUGUCCCUGCCGCCUCAGAGAAUUUCAAGCUUUUGACAGCAAGAUAUGAAUCAUAUUAAUUUCUAUACGCAUUAAAAAAAAGAAACUCAACCUUUUUAUUACCUGAAGCAAUUCAGUGGAAUUUAUUAAACAAACAGUUAUUUUUG